UCCUGGUUUCCCAGGCAGUCUCGCCAGAGUGCCUCCUUACGGAGUAGCAACUGACGACAGGAGUUGCGCUCGUUAAAGGACUUAACCCAACAUCUCACGACACGAGCUGACGACAGCCAUGCAGCACCUGUAUACCUGUCUAGACUUACGUCUAGAAAACUCUAUUUCUAGAGCGGUCAAGCAUAUGUCAAGCCUAGGUAAGGUUCCUCGCGUAGUGUCGAAUUAAACCACAUGUUCCACCGCUUGUGCGGACCCCCGUCAAUUCCUUUGAGUUUUAAUCUUGCGACCGUACUCCCCAGGCGGAUCACUUAUCGCGUUAGCUACGACACUCAUCUCAUUACAAGACGAACGUCUAGUGAUCAUCGUUUACAGCGUGGACUAC
rnacentral:misc_RNA from 1 species